UACGUAGGGGGCGAGCGUUGUCCGGAUUUAUUGGGCGUAAAGAGCGUGUAGGCGGCUUGUCACGUCGGGUGUGAAAGCCCGGGGCUUAACCCCGGGUCUGCAUUCGAUACGGGCUAGCUAGAGUGUGGUAGGGGAGAUCGGAAUUCCUGGUGUAGCGGUGAAAUGCGCAGAUAUCAGGAGGAACACCGGUGGCGAAGGCGGAUCUCUGGGCCAUUACUGACGCUGAGGAGCGAAAGCGUGGGGAGCGAACAGG
rnacentral:rRNA from 1 species